rnacentral:rRNA from 1 species
UACGUAGGGUGCGAGCGUUGUCCGGAAUUAUUGGGCGUAAAGAGCUCGUAGGCGGUCUGUCGCGUCGGCUGUGAAAACCCGGGGCUCAACUCCGGGCCUGCAGCCGAUACGGGCAGACUAGAGUUCGGCAGGGGAGACUGGAAUUCCUGGUGUAGCGGUGAAAUGCGCAGAUAUCAGGAGGAACACCGGUGGCGAAGGCGGGUCUCUGGGCCGUAACUGGCGCUGAGGAGCGAAAGCAUGGGGAGCGAACAGG